rnacentral:tRNA from 1 species
UGUGCAAGGCUCAGUUGGAAGAGCAUGAGACUCUUAAUCUCAGGGUUGUAGGUUUGAGUCCCAUGUUGGGCAA